rnacentral:rRNA from 1 species
AUUGAACGCUGGCGGCAGGCCUAACACAUGCAAGUCGAGCGGAUGAACGGAGCUUUCUCCUGGAUUCAGCGGCGGACGGGUGAGUAAUGCUUAGGUAUCUGCCUUGUAGUGGGGGAUAACGUCCGGAAACGGGCGCUAAUACCGCAUACGUCCUGAGGGUGAAAGUGGGGGAUCUUCGGACCUCACGCUAUCUGAUGAGCCUAGGUCGGAUUAGCUAGUUGGUGGGGUAAAGGCCUACCAAGGCGACGUUCCGUAACCGGUCUGAGAGGAUGAUCAGUCACACUGGAACUGAGACACGGUCCAGACUCCUACGGGAGGCAGCAGUGGGGAAUAUUGGACAAUGGGCGAAAGCCUGAUCCAGCCAUGCCGCGUGUGUGAAGAAGGUCUUCGGAUUGUAAAGCACUUUAAGUUGGGAGGAAGGGCAGUAAGUUAAUACCUUGCUGUUUUGACGUUACCAACAGAAUAAGCACCGGCUAACUUCGUG